GGGAACUUGGGUUGGAAGGACCUAAACAUAACGGGUUGUGCCACCAUUAGCAGCAACCAAAUGCUCCAGAUAAGUCUUUCACAUCACUGUGGAGAAUUUCACCCACUCUUCUUUGCAGAAUUGCUUCAGUUUAGUCACGUUUGAGGGACACGUUGUGUUUACUUAAGUUGUCUUGUAUUAAAUUUUGUUUGAAGAUCUGAAACAAUUAACUGUGAUAAAUACAGAAGAAAUCAAACAUACACUACCGGUCAAAAGUUUGGGGUCACUUUGAGAUUCCCUUGGUUUUGAAAGAAAAGCUUUUUUUUUUUUUCAAUUAGAAUAACAUUAAAUUGAUUACAAAUACAGUCUAGACAUUGUUACUGUUGUAAAUAACUAUUAUAGCUGGAAACUGAUGAUUUUUUUCAUGGAACAUCUACAUAGGCGUAAAAAGGGUUAUUUUCAGCAACCAUCAUUCCUGUGUUCCAAUAGCACAUUGUGAAAACUAAUCUAGGUGAAUAAUGUUAAACCUUUUUGCAAUUAUGUUAGUGCAGCUGUUAAUCAUUGUGCUGAUUAAUGAUGCAAUAAAAGUGGCCUUCUUUAAGCUAGUUGAGUAUCUGGAGCAUCAGCAUCUGUGGGUUUGAAUACAGACUCAAAGUGGACAGUAAAAAACUAGUCUCUUUUGAAACUUAUCAGUCAAGGGACGACUCCAGGAUGCUGGCCUUCUAGGCAGAGUUGCAAAGAAAUGGUCAUAAUUGAAACUGGCCAGUAAAAGAACACUGGACAGAGGCAGAUUGGAAAAAUCAUUAUUUCCAACCUUGCCCAUGUCUGGAAUACAUUUAUUUACGUUACAGUUCAUUUGAGGACUAAAAGUGUGAGUUUUCAAGGAAAAUUAUAUACAGCUAUAACAUUAAAACCAUCUGCCUAAUAUUGUUUAGGUUCCCCUUGUGCUGCCAACACAGCUCUGACUUGUCGAGGCAUGGACUCCACAAGGUCUCUGAAAGGGAGCUGUGAUAUCUGGCACCAAGACAUUAGCAGUAGAUACUUUAAGUCCUUUAAGGACUUGUUUGUCCAGCAUACCCCACAGAUGCUCAAUCAGACCGAGAUCUGGGGAAUUUGUAGGCCAAUCAACACCUUGAACUCUUUGUCAUGGUUCCUCAAAGCAUUCUUGAACAAUUUUUGCAGUGUGGCAAGGAACAUUAUCCUGUUGAAAAAGGCCACUGCGAUUAGGGAACACUGUUGUCAUGAAGGGGUGUUCUUGGUCCUUAACAAUUUUUAGGUAGGUGGUACGUGUCAAAGCAACAACCACAUGAAUGGCAGGACCUAAGGUUUCUCAGCAGAACAUUGCCCAGAGCAUCACACUUCCUCCACUGGUUUGCCUGCUUAUCAUACUCGUGCAUCCUGGUGCCAUCUCUUCCCCAGGUAAGCGACACAUGCACCCGGCCUUCCACAUGAUGUAAAAGAAAACCUGAGACCAGGUCACCUUCAUCCAUUGCUCCAUAGUCCAG
ensembl:lncRNA